AUUGAACGCUGGCGGCAUGCCUUACACAUGCAAGUCGAACGGUAACAGGUUAAGCUGACGAGUGGCGAACGGGUGAGUAAUGUAUCGGAACGUGCCCAGUCGUGGGGGAUAACUACUCGAAAGAGUGGCUAAUACCGCAUACGACCUGAGGGUGAAAGCGGGGGACCGUAAGGCCUCGCGCGGUUGGAGCGGCCGAAAUCAGAUUAGCUAGUUGGUGGGGUAAAAGCCCACCAAGGCGACGAUCUGUAGCUGGUCUGAGAGGACGACCAGCCACACUGGGACUGAGACACGGCCCAGACUCCUACGGGAGGCAGCAGUGGGGAAUUUUGGACGAUGGACGCAAGUCUGAUCCAGCCAUGCCGCGUGCGGGAAGAAGGCCUUCGGGUUGUAAACCGCUUUUGUCAGGGAAGAAACGAGUUUCUCUAAUACAGAGACUUAAUGACGGUACCUGAAGGAUAAGCACCGGCUAACUACGUGCCAGCCGCCGCCGUAAUAC
rnacentral:rRNA from 1 species